CGGGAUGUAGCGCAGCCCGGUAGCGCGCGUCGUUCGGGACGACGAAGUCGCUGGUUCGAAUCCAGUCAUCCCGA
rnacentral:tRNA from 1 species